GACGAACGCUGGCGGCGUGCUUAACACAUGCAAGUCGAACGAAGUGGCGAACGGGUGAGUAACGCGUAAUCAACCUGCCCCUCAGAGGGGGACAACAGUUGGAAACGACUGCUAAUCCCGCAUACUGAAGGAGGGGAUUGCGUCUGAUUAGCUAGUUGGCGGGGUAACGGCCCACCAAGGCGAUGAUCAGUAGCCGGGCUGAGAGGAUGAACGGCCACAUUGGGACUGAGACACGGCCCAGACUCCUACGGGAGGCAGCAGUGGGGAAUCUUCCGCAAUGGACGAAAGGCUGACGGAGCAACGCCGCGUGAGUGAUGACGGCCUUCGGGUUGUAAAGCUCUGUUAUUCGGGACGCGGUACCGGAAUAGAAAGCCACGGCUAACUCCGUGCCAGCCGCCGCGGUAAUAC
rnacentral:rRNA from 1 species